rnacentral:rRNA from 1 species
UACGGAGGGAGCUAGCGUUGUUCGGAAAUACUGGGCGUAAAGCGCACGUAGGCGGCGCAGCAAGUCAGGGGUGAAAUCCCGGGGCUCAACCCCGGAACUGCCCUUGAAACUGCAGUGCUAGAAUCUUGGAGAGGUCAGUGGAAUUCCGAGUGUAGAGGUGAAAUUCGUAGAUAUUCGGAGGAACACCAGAAGCGAAGGCGGCCAACUGGCCCGAUACUGACGCUGAGGCGCGAAAGCGUGGGG